CUGCAGCUCCUGCUCCCGAGGUAGCUCCAAUGAAUCAGGAUCCACUCUCUGCAGCUCUGACUUAAACACACCUGCCUGGAGGGUUUUAACACCAACUGCUUGGAAAAGAGUCAUUUGAUAGGGCAUUUUGUUCCUCACCCUCCUCCGGAUCCUGCUCAGAUCCUCCCUGUAAUCUUGCCAUCUCUCUCUGUGACAUCGCUCCUCAGCCACACCCGGGAUGACGCACUGCCAUUUCUCAGCUCAUUGCACUGUGUGGCUACAAGUCCUGCUGCAGAACCAGCGUGGAGACAAACAACAGGCAAAAAUAGAGCCAGGCUGGCCUCAAAGGUGGAUCUGCAGCCUCUGUGAGUCACGCUGCAAUUUCACAAUAAAGCCACCUUGGAACUUAUGCUCCAAGAUGCUGAUUAAUUUAAUUUUUAAAUCUCUAAACAAUACUGGGCAGAAAGAACAAUAAGAAGGAAAAGCAGCACUGAGUAUUCAGAUGAUACCAAAGGAGCACUGAGAAAGAAGUGACCUUAUGCCUUUCACUAGAUGGGUGCGAUAACUCAGCAUUUUAGAUGGGUGUGAUGAACUUGGUGUUUGCAUCUCACCUAACCCUUGGAAGAGAUGGGAUCAAGCCUUCUAUGCUCUGAUUGCUUUGCCUUCACUUUGGCUUUUUUGAGCUCAGAUAAAUCCCCUCCGUGAGAACAACAUCUAACCACACCAGCCUCAUGGCUAGAUAAGGUUCACCAGUUCCUGCAAGAGAGAGGUCACUUUGGACUGAUUCUUCUCAGCUGAGUUGCAAGAAUAACUUGCUGAUACUGAACCCAGUGGGAGAAUUCCCUUAAUCCAGCCCUGGCGACCUGACACAGAUGAUGGACUGUGUGUGCCAAGACAUACUUUGUGAGCUGGUGAAAGACAAAUGUUGGACACACCAGUGCUGUCAGCUGCUCCAGCACUCUUGAGGAACGCCAUUCUUCCAAUUGCUGCCGUUAACUCAGCCACACACCCUGCCAAUAAACCAUAGCAAGAGCUGCCUAACAGGUCAUCCUCACUGCACAAGAGCGGGCAGUUUGCCAGCACCAGACAACUUAACCACCAACCGUGGCUGUUUUGGGAUAGCCAAAUUCCCGAGGCUAAUGACAGCCCCUUCUGAACCGAUGUCUUGUCCCACUGAAGUCCAGGGGCUUCCCAAACUUUUGGAGUCACAGCUGGUGAACACAAAGGUGCAGCCUGAUACAGUCCUACUGUUCUGCGCGUGCUGUUGUGGUCCAGAGUGAGCCAGCACUGGGGUGUCCACAGCUGGUGAAACCCAGGCCAAGUGUCUCUGCUCUGCCAUGUCUCAGCCUGGGUGAGCUGCUGAGCACUGUUUUGUCAAGGUUACAAGGCAGGGCUGAAGUGGCCUCCAGCCAAAUCAUCACCUACCCAGUCCUUACGUCCAGAGAGAUGCACAAAGGCAAACAGCUGGAACAACUGGGCACUCGCUGGAAGGGAGGACACGACAAACCAGAGACUUCUCGUUAACUUUUGCAGACAGAUCAAGGGACAAAGGCAAGUAUCCCACAAUAACUUGGCAAAUACCGCAGUACAAUGCUCAAAUCUGUGGGAUGUGGCUUCACAGAAGAGCUCACCACCUAACGCAGCCCAAAAAGCUUGGCACAACCAUAUGGUUCAACUCAAACACUGCUCCAGACUUUGGAGGCUGAAACUCAAGAAUGCCAGGCCCAGAAAAAUUCUGCUGCAAAGACAAAGUCAAAGCAACUCAGGCAGAUUUGUAGAUUGAAAUGGAAAUGCCCUCACCGUACUGAUUACUUAACGCCAUUUUAUUUCUUCCUUCCCCUUUGAAGAGAACUGUUGUGCGAGCAAACAGAGCCUCAGUUCUCUUGUUGAAACUCCUGACGCCAGUGAUCUCCCACUUCCAUGCAAAGCAAAGCUAUGUGGAAGUCACAGGGUCAAUUUGUUUACCUUGCCUGUGGCAAGGCUUGGGUUCAUCAGGUUAAUUCCAGUAGUUGCUAAAAGGUCUUGAAAUUUUUUCUCUGGUGUCAUAUGGCUUUUGCAUUUUUUUUUUGUUUCAAAGCAGGGGGUAACCAUGAACUGUUCAAAACACACCGAAGUAAACAACAUUUUUCUGCAUCAAGCUCAUCCUGUGGAUUAAUUCAUUUGCAUUUCUGGCCCUUUCAAGUGAGGGGAAGUCAUACAGAUGUGAGCAGUCAUUUAAGGAUUUUAAGGGUUAUGGUUCACAUCAUCCAAAAUUGAUCCCAGGACUACUCAUUCACAGGAAAAGGAAAGAUUAUGGUGGACAUACUGAUGU